rnacentral:rRNA from 1 species
UUUAUGGAGAGUUUGAUCCUGGCUCAGAGUGAACGCUGGCGGCGUGCCUAAUACAUGCAAGUCGAACGAUGAAGCUUCUAGCUUGCUAGAGUGCUGAUUAGUGGCGCACGGGUGAGUAACGCAUAGGUCAUGUGCCUCUUAGUUUGGGAUAGCCAUUGGAAACGAUGAUUAAUACCAGAUACUCCCUACGGGGGAAAGAUUUAUCGCUAAGAGAUCAGCCUAUGUCCUAUCAGCUUGUUGGUAAGGUAAUGGCUUACCAAGGCUAUGACGGGUAUCCGGCCUGAGAGGGUGAACGGACACACUGGAACUGAGACACGGUCCAGACUCCUACGGGAGGCAGCAGUAGGGAAUAUUGCUCAAUGGGGGAAACCCUGAAGCAGCAACGCCGCGUGGAGGAUGAAGGUUUUAGGAUUGUAAACUCCUUUUGUUAGAGAAGAUAAUGACGGUAUCUAACGAAUAAGCACCGGCUAACUCCGUGCCAGCAGCCGCGGUAAUACGGAGGGUGCAAGCGUUACUCGGAAUCACUGGGCGUAAAGAGCGCGUAGGCGGGAUAGUCAGUCAGGUGUGAAAUCCUAUGGCUUAACCAUAGAACUGCAUUUGAAACUACUAUUCUAGAGUGUGGGAGAGGUAGGUGGAAUUCUUGGUGUAGGGGUAAAAUCCGUAGAGAUCAAGAGGAAUACUCAUUGCGAAGGCGACCUGCUGGAACAUUACUGACGCUGAUUGCGCGAAAGCGUGGGGAGCAAACAGGAUUAGAUACCCUGGUAGUCCACGCCCUAAACGAUGGAUGCUAGUUGUUGGAGGGCUUAGUCUCUCCAGUAAUGCAGCUAACGCAUUAAGCAUCCCGCCUGGGGAGUACGGUCGCAAGAUUAAAACUCAAAGGAAUAGACGGGGACCCGCACAAGCGGUGGAGCAUGUGGUUUAAUUCGAAGAUACACGAAGAACCUUACCUAGGCUUGACAUUGAGAGAAUCCGCUAGAAAUAGUGGAGUGUCUGGCUUGCUAGACCUUGAAAACAGGUGCUGCACGGCUGUCGUCAGCUCGUGUCGUGAGAUGUUGGGUUAAGUCCCGCAACGAGCGCAACCCCCUUUCUUAGUUGCUAACAGGUCAUGCUGAGAACUCUAAGGAUACUGCCUCCGUAAGGAGGAGGAAGGUGGGGACGACGUCAAGUCAUCAUGGCCCUUACGCCUAGGGCUACACACGUGCUACAAUGGGGUGCACAAAGAGAAGCAAUACUGCGAAGUGGAGCCAAUCUUCAAAACACCUCUCAGUUCGGAUUGUAGGUUGCAACUCGCCUGCAUGAAGCUGGAAUCGCUAGUAAUCGCAAAUCAGCCAUGUUGCGGUGAAUACGUUCCCGGGUCUUGUACUCACCGCCCGUCACACCAUGGGAGUUGUGUUUGCCUUAAGUCAGGAUGCUAAAUUGGCUACUGCCCACGGCACACACAGCGACUGGGGUGAAGUCGUAACAAGGUAACCGUAGGUGAACCUGCGGUUGGAUCACCUCCUUUCUAGA